UACGUAGGGGGCAAGCGUUGUCCGGAUUUAUUGGGCGUAAAGAGCGUGUAGGCGGCCAAGCAGGUCAGCUGUGAAAACUCGAGGCUCAACCUCGAGACGUCGGUUGAAACCAUCUGGCUAGAGUCCGGAAGAGGAGUGUGGAAUUCCCGGUGUAGCGGUGAAAUGCGCAGAUAUCGGGAAGAACACCCGUGGCGAAGGCGGCACUCUGGGACGGUACUGACGCUGAGACGUGAAAGCGUGGGGAGCGAACAGG
rnacentral:rRNA from 1 species